GAUGAACGCUGGCGGCGUGCCUAAUACAUGCAAGUCGAGCGAACAGACGAGGAGCUAGCUCCUCUGACGUUAGCGGCGGACGGGUGAGUAACACGUGGAUAACCUACCUAUAAGACUGGGAUAACUUCGGGAAACCGGAGCUAAUACCGGAUAAUAUAUUGAACCGCAUGGUUCAAUAGUGAAAGACGGUUUUGCUGUCACUUAUAGAUGGAUCCGCGCCGCAUUAGCUAGUUGGUAAGGUAACGGCUUACCAAGGCAACGAUGCGUAGCCGACCUGAGAGGGUGAUCGGCCACACUGGAACUGAGACACGGUCCAGACUCCUACGGGAGGCAGCAGUAGGGAAUCUUGCGCAAUGGGCGAAAGCCUGACGGAGCAACGCCGCGUGAGUGAUGAAGGUCUUCGGAUCGUAAAACUCUGUUAUUAGGGAAGAACAAAUGUGUAAGUAACUAUGCACGUCUUGACGGUACCUAAUCAGAAAGCCACGGCUAACUACGUG
rnacentral:rRNA from 1 species